GGCGAACGGGUGAGUAACACGUGAGUAACCUGCCCUUGACUUUGGGAUAACUUCAGGAAACUGGGGCUAAUACCGGAUAGGAGCUCCUGCUGCAUGGUGGGGGUUGGAAAGUUUCGGCGGUUGAGGAUGGACUCGCGGCUUAUCAGCUUGUUGGUGGGGUAGUGGCUUACCAAGGCUUUGACGGGUAGCCGGCCUGAGAGGGUGACCGGCCACAUUGGGACUGAGAUACGGCCCAG
rnacentral:rRNA from 1 species